CAAGUAUACUUAUAUUACCCUGGCUAGGUAGCUCAGUAGGUUAGAGCACUGCCCCAAUACACCAAGGUGGGGUUGAUCCCUGCUCAGGGAACAUACAAGAAUCAAUCAAUGAAACUGUAAAUAAGUGGAA